rnacentral:snoRNA from 1 species
ACACUCCAUAUCCCUGCUCCCUCAGAUCUAAAUAUCGGUCUGAACGGCUGGAGGGGGAAUGAAAGUGAAAUUGAAGUGGACUUGGAGUGUCUCGUGACCAACAAGGUCAUUUCAAACGUAU